AAUAAUCCCCACGUUUCUGUAUUGUGUUAUGUGACGAUAUUUCUUAAUUUUGUACUUUUCGGUAAAAGAGAACUUAGCUCUAGUAAUUGUUCCUGAAAAAAAAUAUACAUGUUGAUUAGUUUUCUGACUUCUUACCCAUAUUCGUUCAUUAACAUCAACUGCACGAUCGCUUCUUCUUCAUCCUGUGUCCGUUGCAUUUGACCUAUCAUCUCUUCGUCUUCUCUCUUAUGUGUCUGUUGCUUGUACUGCUGAAUUUCAAUUAAUGCUUUUUUAUGCGUCUUCUUCUGUAGAUGAACAAAUAGUUUAUUAGAUUUUAUUUUUGUUUUCAGCACUUUUAUUCUUAUUCUUCCUCAUAUCGACUUGGUCAUAAAUUAUCGAUUUGAAUCAUUGAUGCAUGUUAAAAUCAAAUCUUUUUUUUUAUAUAUUCAUGAUAUGUUUAUAUGAUUUUCUUUUUUUCUUUUUUUUUAAUAUUUGGAACAGGCAAGACCGACAGUCUUCUUCUUAUCUUUGGGAGCAAUAUUUGGCUGUUUUUUUUUUCAUUCAAGAACUUUAUCGUACCGUUACAGUACCGUACCUUGAUGAAAUCAGGAAGUUUGUUUUUUCCUGGUGGUAGCUGGGUAUACCAAACCGAACCAUUUUCUAUUUUCUUUGUUUACCAUAACGUUUUCUUUUUUGAUUGUUUUUCGUUUCAUGGUCAUGUUAUUCAUUCAAGAACUUUUUUGUAUCGCUGGAUACAGUACCUUGACGAAUCAGGAAUGUCUCUAUUCCUGGCGGUAGCUUGGUUUACCAGACCAGACCAUUGAUUUAUUUAUUUAUUUUUUUUUUUUAAUUUCUGGACCCAAGGUAUUCAUUAUUGUUUGAUGGCUUAUUUAUUAUUCAUUCAAGCACUAUGUGUAUCAAUGGAUACAGUACCUUGAUGAAUCAGGAAUGCUGCAUUCCUGGUGGUAGCUUGGUUUACCAGACCGCGCCAUUUUCGUUUUUUAUCGAUUCUUCGUUUCUUCGCGUUUUUGUUUUUUUUAUCAUUUCGUGGCAUAUUUAUUUCAUUUAUUAUUUAUAAUUCAUUCAAGAACUUUUUAGCAUCGUAAGAUACAGUACCUUGAUGAAUCAGGAAUAUUGUCAUUCCUGGUGGUAGCUUGGUUUACCAAACCUUUGAUACUCUGUACUUUGGCAAUGUGGGGAAAACAAAACUGUUCAAUUCCAUACUUUUCAUUUUCAAACAUCUCGUUUAAUAUUUUCUGCACAUUCAUUCUGGUGUGCACUAACCUUGUCCAAUCAUUCAUUCUUACAAACAAACAUAGGUAAAUAGAUAAAACUAUUGCCUGAUUUUUAACUUUCCAAAUGGUACAGAAUUUGACGACUCGUCGACAAUGUAAUUUCAAUUAAUAUGCCAUAUUUUUUUUUUUUUAGUUUCCGAUGCCAGAUUUACUCUUUUUUGUAUAUUUUUAUCUUUAUCUUUCUCUAUCCAAUGGAUAUGGUGCACCUUGGUCCGAAUAAUGUUCAUAUGAAUUUGUAUUAAUUGUAUUAAUGGUUCUGUAUCAGCCUCUGGUUGUAUGUAUUUGUCCCUUUAUGCGUUGUUUUUUUUUAUUAUUAUUUUAUUUUAUUUUUUUGACUUGUCGUAUUCAAAUUAGAAGUAUUCAGCUCAUUCUCGACCUGCUGGAAUUUCGUUACGAUUUUUUUUUUGUAAUAGGGGUAAUUAAUUCAUUUUCGUUAAAAAAUUUCCCAUGGUAUAAACAUGCAUCAAUGUUCAUUAUUUCAUUCAUGUCUUUCUUGAAGAUUUUGGUAGUGUCUCUGUCAUUACUAUGUAAUCCAUGAUGUAAUCUAUUACCUAGGAAACUCGCUAUUAUGUUAUUAAGCGAUACUUUGCUUUAUCAUUUUUGUUAAAAAUAAAAUCUGCAAAUUGAUAGCGCGCUAAAAGCAGCAAUACGAUCGACCGUGUACUCAUUCUUAAAAAAUACAUGUAUUACUCGUUUCCGUAUAUCUUAAACGUUUUAUUUUAUGUUAUUAUUCCUUUUUUUUCAUGAUUUCCAUGUUGAUUGUGAGGAAAUUUCACAUGAUCUUCAUUUUAAACAACCUUUUAUAUUUUUUUUCGAUUUUCAUUUAGUUCAAUCAGAUGUAUUUUUACCUAUACAUUACACAAACUUAAAAAAUUCAUUACUGUUGUAGCCCAAUCAUUUAUACUUUGUUAUGCGAUUGUUUUCUCGAUUUGUUCUCGUUUUUAAACCCCUACAUUUGCAAUGAAUUGAAGGUAUAAUCUAAUUGAUCCCUAAUCAAUGAUGAGAAAAAAAAAACAAGAUGCGAAUCUAUUUUUGUUUGUUUUUACCACAUGUUUUUUUCCUUGGCAAAUUAAAAUCCAUUAUGUUUAUUGCAAACACACUUCUUCACUCCUUCUCUUCGCACACGAAGGCAUUGACACCCAAAAAUUCUACAGCAACAGUAAUUGCUGCGACAACAGUAAGUGGCUUGUGACGAUAGAAAAUGUGCAUCUGAAAGCAAAACGAAAACGUUGUCGCGUCUCUUUCCUUAUCCGUGAUAGCCGAAAGAAGAGAAAACAAAUUUCAGCUUCAUUCCGUUUUCGACUUGCAGUGCUAUAGGAUACUGGAGAAAAGAACAUGGUAAGUGUAAUUCAGCUAGAAAAAUUAGUUUUCAUUUUUGUUUUUAAUCUGAUUUAUUUUCCCUUUUUUUUCUAGGGAUGUCACAUCGUCUUUAUUUGGGACAUGUAACUUACAGAAUGCUCGGAAGUUAACCAAGUCCUGCGAUGGGAUCCAGGCGUGCUCCGUGCAGUGGACCAUCACCAGGAUAGAGAAAUCCAUCUCUACCCGUACAACAAGGCCGGGGAUUCAGAGUGCAAGGGAAAAAACAUAUACAUAGAAAUUUAUAUACGAUUAAACGUUAGUGUGUUCAAUGGUAGUCUCAGUAAGGGAACGAAAAAGGAAAAAAAUAAACGGUAAGUUUUUCCUUCCUUAUUAUUACUUUUAAGUGUGGUGUUCCCUUAAAAUUUCAUAAAUGUUGAAACCAAGUUAUUUUAUCUUCGCUAGAUAUUUUUUUAAGUGUUAAACAUUAUUCCAGAUUCAAAAUUGGGACGUUUUGAACCAUUCAGUAUGAUUCCCCAUAUCUUAUCUUUUGUCAUGAAAAAUUACGUUGCCUGACAAACUAUUGAAUAUUGCUUCUCAUAUUUUUCAAAUAAUCAAUGUGCUUCUUUUGCUUCCAAUAUGCGUUUCUAGCGAAAGACCGUGAAGUUCUUUCAAGAUUGUGUCACUAUUUCCUGACACCUAAGCAUUCUCUCUGAAUUGGCAAAAUGGAAAAAUAUUUUUUUUUUUUUUCAAUGUGACAUAACCUGUCCAAAUGUGGUAAAGGUUUCAUUUUUCUGAAUGCAAUAAGACAAUUUGAAGUACCUAAAAUAUUCCUCAAGAUGUCUUUCAAAUUGUUAAACAAAUUACAACAUUUCAAAUUGGACUAUUUCGAUCCAAUCAAGAUAGUUUCCCAUAGUUUUUCUUUUGUAUGGACAUCUCGUUACCUGACAGAAAGUCUUUAUACCCAAUCAUGCAGUUAUUUGAAUGCAGUUCUGCUAAAUAAAAUCGCUAUUUAAACAUCAACAUUCUCUAGAUUUGUAUCCGUAUUUGCUUAUGCUAAUCAACCUUUGGAUUUUUUUUUUCAAUUUAGUUUUCAUUGAAUCGUUUUAUAUCUGCCAAAUGCUGUGCUGUGUUUUCUUCUGAUUCUGCCAACGUUGUGGAAAUUCUUUAUUAUUAUAUUGUUGAUAUUGAGUAUUGAAUAAGAGCAACAUUUGUCUGAUCAAACCUGGAUAACAAUAUGAUAAUAUUGCAAUGAUCUGUUAAAAAAAAUAAAAUUUUGAUUGGAAGCAAAUUGUUUAAAAUGUUAGUUUCCUUCAAUAUUUUUGUUCAAGGUUUCUUGCAUUCCCCAUGAUAAGUAUUUAAAUUAUUUUGUUUUAUUUUUCAAGGCUUUCAAAACUUUGCAUAAAUUUUCAUGAUAUUCCUGCAUUAUUUUUCAAUAAUUAAAAAAAAGACGCGGACACCGUCUUCAGCCAGAGGCUGCACAGACUGAAUAAAACUUAAACACUAGACAAGGGACACACGGAGCAUGCACCAGUGGAUACGGAGAAGAAAAUAUUCUCACGAAAAGUUUCAUCGCCCGGAGCGGGAAUCGAACCCUCACCCCAUAGCAUGGUGCGAUUAGAAGCUUGGUGACCCUAACCGCACGGCUACGAGGCUCAACAAUAUCAUCUAAAUAAAUGAUGGUUCCUUGAUUUUAUUGUUUCCAGGAAUUUAACAUUUUUUUUUCAUGUAGCGUUUAAAGGAUUCCUGGUAACCUUGUUUCAUUUUUUUUUUGCUGGAAAUUUUGCUAAAAAUUCUCAUAUCUGUUUUUUUU